ensembl:lncRNA
CUCAUUAUGUCUGGAUGAGUGUAUCAAGUAGAUAGUUACCCCAAAUAAUGUCGUCUUUCUGAACCGAGACCUUCCAGGUGUUGAAAGGACUCAAGCAUUCAGUAUGGAAAUUCCAGUUUGACUUUAAGAAAGUAGUGAUUUCUGAACAUGCCAUAGUCCUAACUAGCACUGGUAAAUGAUACUGUCAUUUCAGAUAGAUGAUAAUGUAACCAGAGUGCAUCUUGUUAAAUAAAUAAUACUACAGUGAUGUUGGUAACAUCUCAGUCAGGCGUGUUAGUCCAGCUUUAAGUAUUCCAAUCUGCUCCUAUAGACCACCUUGAAUUAAUACUUCUCACCAUCUUACCUGUUGGUUUGAGGCCUCUCUCUCUCCCAUGCUCUGGCUACCUUUCUGACCAGUGUUAUUGGUAUGACAGCCUCCCUUCUGCAUAAAGUAAACACAUACAGUACAAUCCUAAAUUCAGCUGCUGUCCUUUUAUCUGAGAUCCUAUUCAAUGACUGAUUUACAUGAAUACUGAUCAACAGUCUGUCUUGGCGUGGCACUUAUCAAUGAUUUACCUGUUGGUUUGAGCCGGUUUGUUCAUGUCUGUCACUUCCCUGCCAUGAUAAUACAUAGCAUAAACCAAAUUCUUUAAAUAUUUAACAGACUUAAGUUAUAUCUACAUGAUUAUAAACAUCUAAACUGAAGAAAAAAAAUUGCCAGCUGUUGUGUGGAAAUUGUUACCAAGAAACUAAGAUACUCUCGAUUCUUGACUGGUGGUGGCACGACCAUUACUUAGCUAGCUACUUGUAGACCUCAUGGUGAUUGAGAUUGCGCAAAUAAUUUUAGCAGGCGUUCUUCCUUUCAAAUCAUUCACUCCUUUUCACACAGCCAUAGGACCUACUCUGUUAUCUAGCAAGCAAGCUAAUAGUACUGUAACGUUUGUUGGAUUAAACAUGAAAAUUAAGACAGCUAGCUAACUACGCCUUAAAUAUGUUUUUAGCCAGAAGAAAGCUUAUAUUUUAUCACGUUUGUUCAUUCUAUAGCUAUGAAAAUAUACGGACGUUUAUACAGGUUGUAGUUACUGUGAAAACAAAACUUACAGCUACAGUAAUCCACUUUGCUACAACAACUUAGACAGAAAAUAUUAUUAUCCUCCUGGACAAAAUUAUUACCAACUCACAUUCCCUUUCUUUCUUUUCUUCCCCAUGAGAAAGAAAUCUCUUAAAUUGAGCUGCUGCUGUCUUUUCAUCUUUACCUCUGACCAGUCGCCGGUCAACAGCUACAGACUCCCGCUUCCCAAGCACUCUGAGCCUGAGUCGUUGAGAGGCGGGCCGGAGGCAAGACGCUGUGUUGCGCUUUCAAAAUAAAAGCAAGCGAGUUACAGAUUUCAAAAUAAAAUAUUGUUCUCCUCCGCGGUAUAAUGUUUGGGUGGGACAAUUGCGACUGUCUCCAAUAUUGGAGGGGACACGUCCCCCCCGGUUCCUACGCUCUUGCAACUAGUUAUAGACCAAUAAAAAUGACACAACAUGUAUGGAAGAUUAUGGAGUGAAUGAUGCCUGAGAGACUAACUUAUUUAAUGGUAAAUAGGGUCUGGAACCACUUUAUCUGGAAGUGGAGGGGGACUAUGGACCCAGUGAUCUGAUUAGAAUUGAGGUUAGGAAGACAGAUGAACAAGGAGACAUUGUCUUUGAUGUAGAGAAGACGUGAUAUGUUGGAUAUAGAGGUUAAUAAUCACACCUGAGGGGUUCGGAGGUAGAGGUACAACUGGAAGGUCUGUUCAGGGUGGAGACAUCUGGGUCGUGUUGCUACAUGGUGGAGAGCAGAACCCUGCAUGGGAGCGUGGUUAGCCUGGUGCUGUUCUUCAUCAUCAUCUAUGAUGUUUACUGUCAGGUACAACCAGAUAUCGGCAGGUCGUUAUUUUGCAGAUGAUGCAGCCUGAAGGAAGAGAGGAAGAAACAUACAACAUGUAGUCAAGUCAGGAAGGUACCGGAAGCUGUUGAAGACAUGGAGCAGUGGGCAGUGAUGUGGAGGUUCAGGUUCUCUGUAGAGGAAACUCUGUCAGUGUUUUUCACCAGGUGGAGGUGAGAUAUGAUGGAUGUUGUAUAGGAGAGACUUAGAGAGGGUGGAGGUGAGAUAUGACUGAUGAUGUAUAGGAGAGACUUAGAAAGGGUGGAGGUGAGAUAUGAUGGAUGUUGUAUAGGAGAGACUUAGAGAGGGUGGAGGUGAGAUAUGACUGAUGAUGUAUAGGAGAGACCUAUAGAGGGUGGAGGUGAGAUAUGACUGAUGAUGUAUAGGAGAGACUUAGAGAGGGUGGAGGUGAGAUAUGACUGAUGAUGUAUAGGAGAGACUUAGAGAGGGUGGAGGUGAGAUAUGACUGAUGUUGUAUAGGAGAGACUUAGAGAGGGUGGAGGUGAGAUAUGACUGAUGAUGUAUAGGAGAGACUUAGAGAGGGUGGAGGUGUCCAGGUUCCUCUGAGAGUAUUUAGAUAGUAAAACACAUUGAAGGAGUGAUGGAAAAGUGGAAGAAUGUCCUGAAUGUGAUGCACUGACUGAAAGGGC